rnacentral:rRNA from 1 species
UACGUAGGUGGCAAGCGUUGUCCGGAUUUACUGGGCGUAAAGAGCGCGCAGGCGGUCGUUCAAGUCGCGUGUGAAAUCCCCGGGCUCAACCUGGGAACUGCAUUUGUGACUGCAUGGCUGGAGUGCGGCAGAGGGGGAUGGAAUUCCGCGUGUAGCAGUGAAAUGCGUAGAUAUGCGGAGGAACACCGAUGGCGAAGGCAAUCCCCUGGGCCUGCACUGACGCUCAUGCACGAAAGCGUGGGGAGCAAACAGG